rnacentral:rRNA from 1 species
GGGUUAGGUUUCUGUGAUUUUGAGUUGUUUAACCUUGCACUUCUAGCAAGGCAAUCAUGGAGAUUAUUAGAAGAACCUAGCUCUUUGAGUGCAAGAAUACUGAAGGCAAUUUACUAUCCAUAUAGCUCAAUCCUUGAUAUGAAUCUUGGCUCUCAUCCAUCAUAAAUCUGGAGAUCAAUCAUUAAAGUGCGUGAUAUUCUAGCUCAAGGCCUUAUAAGAAGAAUAGGUGACGGAGCCUCCACUGAAAUAUUGUGUCAUAACUGGCUUCCUCGACAAGGGAUGAUGAGGCCAAUUACUACACGUACAAAGGCAACCAUUAGCAUCGUAUGUGACCUCAUAGAUGAGAUGUAUAAAUGCAAUCAUUAA